rnacentral:rRNA from 1 species
GCCCAGACUCCUACGGGAGGCAGCAGUGGGGAAUAUUGCACAAUGGGGGAAACCCUGAUGCAGCGACGCCGCGUGAGCGAUGAAGUAUUUCGGUAUGUAAAGCUCUAUCAGCAGGGAAGAAGAUGACGGUACCUGACUAAGAAGCCCCGGCUAACUACGUGCCGGCAGCCGCGGUAAUACGUAGGGGGCAAGCGUUAUCCGGAUUUACUGGGUGUAAAGGGAGCGUAGACGGCGAUGCAAGCCAGAUGUGAAAGCCCGGGGCUCAACCCCGGGACUGCAUUUGGAACUGUGUGGCUGGAGUGUCGGAGAGGCAGGCGGAAUUCCUAGUGUAGCGGUGAAAUGCGUAGAUAUUAGGAGGAACACCAGUGGCGAAGGCGGCCUGCUGGACGAUGACUGACGUUGAGGCUCGAAAGCGUGGGGAGCAAACAGGAUUAGAUACCCUGGUAU